GCCACCUGCCGCCCGCGGGCGCGACCGAGCGGGCCGGGGACGCGCCUCCGCCCGCUGCCUGGAAGCCGCUCGGCCAGGGGCCAGCAACCGAACCGCCGCCCUGCCCGUCCCAGGAGCUCGCCCAGAGCCUCGGGCCGCGUCCUGGGGCGUUAAGCCAGCGGACCCCAGAGGACACUGGCCGCCUGCGCGUCGCGCUCCUCAGCCCGGGUUCCAGGCAGCGCGAACGCGGGCGGUGCGUCAAGGGACACCUGGCACCGCGGGGCACGUGCAGAGGGCUUGGGGAGCCGAGGAUCGCGUCGGCAGGGACGGCUCAGUGCCCAAACCUGGGGCUGGCAGUGAAGGGACAGUGUCAGGGGCAGAGGACUGGGCGAAGUACCUCGGGGAGCUCUGGAGCACAGGGAAGCAGGGAAGUGAGACUUAACCUUGGCCUUCUGAACCUGGGGCCAGGGGAGUCCUGGUGGAGUCUCGGCAUUGCGCCUCCAAAUUUUCAGUGGCACCACGCCCAGGGCUUCCUGGUGCUCUUGCUGCUUUGGCUUCCUGGGUCUCAACUCAUGGCAGUGGUUAGUAGCACUGUGCCGUCACCCAGGAGAAAUCUGAGGCUCCUUGGGGGAUAAAUAACUUGUCCGGGGUGAGUGGAGAAGCCUGGACUGCACUCCGUGUCUGCUUCUCCCUGAAGUCUGGACUGCACCCCUCAAGGGUUCGCUACUGCCAGAUGAGCCGUCGGCACGCGCAGAUGCCAUGAGCAUCUACCAACAGGAGAGCCUACCCGCCUCCCUUGCCUGUUCCUGGCCUGCCUCUUCUGCUGAUGCCUCACACUGGCCAAGAAUUGGUCUCCGAGACCCUCUUCCCUCCAGAUGAACUGGCCGGAACCUUGUGAAUAGACCAGAGGACAGGUCAGCAUGUAGGACGCAUAGGCAACCAGAAGAGAACUGAUCAGUACCCCGGCAAGGCUCACCCAAACUUCACUGUGCGCCGUGGAUUCUCUUCAGGAGCCUGGCGUAGCACUGCAAAUUGUGCAGACAAUGAGAGUACCAAGCCAUUCCUUCUAUAGGAAAUAGAAUUAAGCUCCCACAAGCCUCUGCUCUUCACAGUUUUACAAACCAACCUACACAGUAUCUGUUUUGUGCCCCACAGGUACUGACGAGGGUAAGCUAAUUCAAAAACAGGAAAUCUGCAAAUUACCAAAAUCGAUGUGCUUCUCAAGUCAGCAGACACAUCAGUAGAGAAACGGCCAUGAGAACAUCUCAGUGUAUUCACCAGACACUUCCAGACAUUUAUCCUGCCUUAAGUGACUUAAGGGACUUGAUGCAACGUCCUAUGGGAUGGAUAUUAUUUUCUUCCUCUUCUUACAGAUAAGCAAACUGAAGCAGAAGGGUUGAAACGUCGACAUAUAUUCCUCGUGAGCUGUCUGUGCCACUUCUCAGAUCAUUUGUAUCUAAAACCAGCCCUGAUGUAACGUGGGGUUGAUUGCAAAAUCUACAUGAAUAUUCAACGUGAAAUGGAGAAUUCAAAGAAAUAUUAUGCUGGUGCAGUGGCAGCUGUGUCGAGUUGGCGGCCCCAUCUGCAGCUCAGGAAGAACUAAAGUAGACUUGGAAGUUGAUUCAAGAGGGCUGUGUUGCUGGCUUGGAGGAAAGAAAACAAGUCAAACCCCAUGGAAGGCAGAGUGGACUGUGUGAGGAAUGAAGGAUUCAGCAUGGCCCUGGGAGUUAACAGACAAAGUUAGGCAGAAGGUGAGCAUGGGAGUGCCAGGAAACCCAGCCCUGACCCAGACUUGGCCACAUGUUGAGAGCUUCCGGGCAAGAUGUUUCUCUGAGGAUCAGCUUUCUCCUGCUUGUGUUGAAGUGACAUAGAAAGCUCCAAUAAGUCUGUGCAGUGUGACUUCUGAGACUUUUUUGUGUUUUGUUUGUAUACGCCAUCCUUCCUUCUCUGGUUCAGAUGUGGUUUGUCCUCCAGGACUGCAGGUGAGAGUCCUGGUCCUUGGUAUGGGGGUGUGAUUGGAAGUCCCUAGGUUACCAGGGGCUGCCCUUGGAAGGAGUUAAGUGGUUAUCAUGGGCCCUGAAUCUGUUCUUGCAAGAACCAGAUGUUAUGAGCCUGACGCCCGAAUUGCUCCCUGUGGCUUCCUGCCUUGCACUCAAACCUCAUUCCCACAAUGUGUAUUUCUUAUGAUGCUACCCACCACACGAUCUUGGCCAGACCUGAGCAGAUGCCAGCACCAUGCUGUCAACUACCUGACUGUGAGUUCAAUCAGCCUCUUUUCUUUAUAAAAGAACCUAGCCUCAAGGAUGUCAUGGCAGUAAUGAGAAACAGACUAUUACACUACUCUUACUUUAUUACUGAACAGCUAAACUGUUCUCCUGGCAUCUGCAUCAGCUCAGGUUGCCAGGGUGGCAGCAGUCGUGAUUGUGAAGUCCCUGAUUGAUUGAUUGAUUUUAUUAGUAAAUGUUUGCAAUGCAUAAUAAUUACAUCCACCUUGGUAAAGUAAUACAUACAUAUUUUGCAUCUCAAUCACUUGUAUCCCCCUCUCCCUGCCUUUCCUUCUCCUCCUUCCCCAGGUUCCCCACGUAACUUUGGAGUCUACCUCCUUAUUUCCUUUCAUCUUUCAUUUUUUGUUCUUUAACUGAUUUAUACUUUAGAUCUCUCAUUUUAAAGAAAUCAUGUGAUAUUUAACUUUAUGUGCCUAGUUUGUUUCACUUAGUGCUGUGGUCUCAAGAUCCUCCCACUUUUCUAUAAACAACUCAAAUUUAUCCUUCUUUAUGACUGAAUGUAUAUACUACCAUAUUUUCUUUAUAUGGUCAUCUAUUGGUGGACAUAAGCCACGUCCAUAAUUUAGCUGCUGUGACUUGUACUGCUAUAAACAUGGGUAUGCAUAUUAUCACUGUAAUGUCAUUUCUUUGAGUCUUUGAGUAUUUAAGGAGACUUUGAGUCUUUAAGGAGAGGUAGAGCUGGGUCAAGUGGAAUUUCUGUUUUUAGUUUUUUGAGGAAUUUCCAUAUUGAUUGCCACAGUGGCUGUACCAGUUUACACUCCACGAACUGUAGAAGGUUCCUUUCACCCCACAACCUUGCAAGCAUUUGGUGCUGGGUUUUUUUUUUUUUUUUUUUUUUUUUUUUUUGAGGCCUCAAUAAUAGCCCUUUUAUUGGAGUAGAACAGAAUCUUGGUGUUGCUUUGAUUUGCAUUUCUGUAGUGGCCGAAGAUGCUAAGCAUUUUCUCACAUACUUUUUGGCUGUUUGUACUUCUUCUGAGAAGUAUCCAUACAUAUCAAUUGCCCACUUGUUCAUUGGUUUUUUUUUUUUUUUUUAAAUCGGUACCGGGGAUCGAACUCACAACCGCACGCUUGUAGGACAGGUGCUUAUGCCGCUGAGCUAAAUCCCCAGCCCCGAAUUGCCCAUUUGUUAUUGGAUCUCUUAUUUUGGGGAUCUAAUACUGGAGGGUUCUUUAUAUAUUCUAGGAAUUAGUCUUUUAGGAGUAGCUGGCAAUUUUUUUCCCAUUUUGUAGUUUGUCUCUUCAUUUUGUUGGUUAUUUCCUUUGCUGGGCAGAAGCUUUUAAAUCUGUUAUAGGCCCAUUUGUUGGCUCUUGGUAUUCUUUCCUGUGCAACCAGGGUUCUGUUUGGAAAGUCCUUGCCUAUACCUAUGUCUUCAAAACUUUACCCAAACUUUUUUUUCCAGCAGAUUUAGUGUUUCUGCUUUAAUAUCUAGGUCUUUGACUCAUUUUGAUUUGAUUUUAGAACAGAGUGAAAAAUAUGGACCUAGAUUCAAUUUACUCAUAAAUAACCAGUUUCCUUAGCAUCAUUUAUUAAAGAGGCCAUCCUUUCUCCAGUAUAUGCUUUUGGCCCCUUUGUCAAAGAUCAGAUGGCUGGAUGCACCUGGGAUUGUUCCUAUACCCUCUAUUCUCUUCCACUGAUCUACAUGUCUGUUUUUGUGUCAGUGCCAUGUUGUUUUUAUAUCUGUAGCUUUGUAACAUAAUUUGAAAUUUGGGAUUGUGAUGCCUCCUGGUUUGUUCUUAUUGCUCAGAUUGCUUUUGCUAUUCUGCUUCUCUUUUAGUUCCACGUGAGUGUUAGAAUUGUUUUUUCUAGUUCUAUAAAAAAUGAUGAAGGUAUUUGGAUUGGAAUUGCAUUAAAUGUAUGAUACAUAUAUCAUUUUUGGGAAAAGGCAUUUUGACAACAUUGGUUUUGCCUACCCAGUAAUAUGGGCUGUCUUUACAUUUUCUGUCUGUGUUUUUGUUUUGAGACAGGGUCUCGCUGUAUGGUUUAUGCUGGUCUUGAAUUCAUUAUGUAGACCAGGAUGGCCUCAAACUCAUGGUGAUCUUUUUGCCUCAAUUUCCUGAGUGCUGUAUUACAGAUGUGUGCUACUUGUAGUAGAGGGCUUUCACUUAUUGGGUUAGGUUGAUUUCUAAGUAUUUAAGUUUUUUCAUGCUGUUGUCAAUGGGUUUGUUUUCCAUUAUUCUUGGUGAGUUCAUCGUUGGUGCACGAGACUACUACAGAUAUUUGUAUAUAGUUUUUUAUCCCGCUACAUUGCUGAAUUUGUUUAUUAAUAAGUUCUAACACUCUUCUGGCAGAGCAUUUGGAUCUUCUAUCUAAUCUAGAACUUAAAACAAUCUCCCCUUUUCCACAAGCAGACCAACAACAAAACAGGCCUCUCAGUAGCCAACCAACCUCACCGAUUAAACAUCACUUAUAAAAAGACACAUGUUACUCAAGAUUAUUGAUUCUUAUAUUUUUUAGAUAGCUCAAAAAAUGUGUUCAUCUGGUUUUCAAAAGUAAGUUGGAGUAUGUGCUCCAUUUUAGAAAAAUAUUCACUCACAAAAAGGUUAAAUUUAAGAGGAGAACAAGAGUCUGGAAAUAUGUAUUCUUUUAAAUACCCUUUGCUUUCUCAAAACUCAUAUCUAGAACAUCAUUUCUGAUACUUCUGGAACCCUAACAUUUUAUUUCCAAAUUGAUUCAUUUGAGGGAAAAUAACAGAGUGAAAGAAACUAAAUAGUGUCUACGACAUUGUUAGAAAAUGUGACCAUGGUCUUCACACAAAUCGUCAGAAAGAGCUGCACACGAGAGCAUUUUCCCUGGUGUUGUGUGGCAUUCAGGUACUGUGCGCCGUACCUUGCACUCUGGGCCUAGCAGUAUGUGGGUUUGAAACACCAUCAAGGAAUACUUGAACGUCCUUUUUCAAAUGAAACUGCAGUAAAAACGUUUUGUUUUGCAAACACGUUAAUUUUGGGAGGAUUUCCACUGGAUGCCAGUGGAGCAUCUUUAUCCUGUCCUUACACAGUCUCAGAAAAAAUGCUGUAUGGAUGAGGCUGAUAAACCAACUUCCUUCUUACCCCGUCAUUGGCAUGUGGUCAUCUGUGGACAUACAGAGGAGCUCACUGAAGUACAGGAUGGUACAGGAGAUAGUCACAAGUACAACGUGUCAGAUGCCUGCCCAGUCCGAGUGACAGGAUGGUAGACAAAUAUAGCUCCUGCCUUGCAGGAGCAAAUGAGAUACAGUAUAACAAAUGUUCCCAGAGGCAAAAGAACAGGACGCUAGAAACAUACAGGACAGGACACUAGCUGGUUCAGUCUUGAGGGUAUUAAAGGUUUCUUGAAUAAAGUAGUAUUUUAAGUGGGAAUUAAAGGUUAACCACUAACACAGGGCCUCACUGUAAAAAUAGUUUUUAAAAAAAUUUACCCUCUUUCUACAUUCUCAGUGCAAAACAAUCUAUAACCUCCAAUGUAUUUUUAAAAUCAUAUAAUCUAGUCUGGUGGUGCAUGCCUGUUACAUCAGCUACUCAGAAAGCCGAGCCUAAAGGAUCCCUUGCAUCUAUGUGCUCAAGGUCAUUCUGGGCAACAAAGCAAAACCCCACGUCAAAACAGAAAAAGGUACAUUUCCUAUAUUCUCUACCUUGUUUACAGUAUACAUAAUAAAAUAAUGUAAAUAACUGGGUGGUAGAUCAGGUAUAAAUUCUAUAUUUGCAGGCAAAGGGGAAAACAACGUUGCAAGCUUCUAUUCGCUUCUCUUAUACUUGGCCCACUGUUUACUUCCAGAGUGGCCUCCUAACCACCGUGGGGCAGUACGCUGCUCUCCUCACGUGGUCCCUAUCACCAAAGCAAUGGCCACUGAUGUAUCUCAUCGACACUGAGUUUCAGUUAUGCGAUGAUUCCAUUAAUACAGAAUACAUUAAUACAGAAUUAAUUAAUACAGAAUUUUCUGUCAUAUCCAUUGGGCAAUGUCAUUGAGAAAUGGCUAUUUGAUUAAAACGUCUAAACUCGAAUCAUCUGUAAUCUCUACCUGGCUUGGAAGUUCAUGCCAGUAUCAGUUUUUAAAAAUUCUUUUCCAUUUUCCUUAUUUAGCCUUUGUAGAACAAUGGACAUUUUAUUCUCAAUCUUCCUGGCCCUAGAUACGAAUCUGGGGAUGCUUGUUUUACGAUGCCUUUGAUUUUUUCUUAGUCUUUAAAAACAACAAUAAAAAUACACUGUUCUGGCAUAAAUUUAUCAAAAUAGUAUUUAGCAAUUGCAUGGGCAAUGCUGAGUAACUCCCACUGUUACUUUGAUGAUUAACUGGAGACCCAGGCUAGGACUGAACAACCAAUUGUCUCAGGGAAACCGGGAACUUCUGGGUGACAGUUCACCCAGGAGUUCACAGUGGAAGAGCAGAAAACAGCUUGGAAACUGCCUCCCAGCCAGACCCACAGGACCGUAUGAGGGGAUGGCGAGGACACAGGCGGAAAUCCAAAGUGGCUUGCAGUGAUUGCCUUCAUUUUAUUUUUGAGAAAAAAUCUUUUAGACUUCUCAUUGUUUUGAGAGAAUUACACAUUUAUUUUGGACCCAUUAGAAAUUUAGGAAUUCCUUUCCUGAUAAACAGACACGUGGAUCAAAGGUGGGUGAACAGGUUCUUACACCAACCACCUGCAUGGCUUUGACUAUGGACAGAUAGUACACAGAACUCUGAGGCCCAUGCUGUUUUCAUGAUUCUAGACCCAAUGGCAUUUGCCACCUGCAUGCUCUGGGAUGAAGUCCAUGUGUCUGUGUCACCCUCUCCCAUCCAACCCAUUCCUUCUCUUCUGCGCCCCACAUUCGUGCCAGAAAUCGGGGAGCUUUGACUCACCUCCCCUCUUAUCAGUUCUACCCACCAGCUCCGAAACCUAUUUUUUAUGGUAUUUUAUCACUUAUACCCAUGUGAACUCUUGCUUGCAUUUCUAGAAGUAUAGACAAAGCAAUCAUUCUUAAGAGCCAAUCUUUUUUUAAAUUUCUGGUUUGUUUUAUUAAUAACUAUUAGCAUACAUUAAACAAUGUGAUGGGUUUGUGAUGGUUUACAUGUAUUUACAUGUAAAUCACAUAACUGUAUCACCCCACCUCCCUAACCCUCUCUUAAUCUCUACCCUUCCCUAUUACCUUUCUCUUCCCUUUUAUUUUUAUGUUAUCUUUUUUCUUUAUUUCUAGAUUCUGCAUGCAAGAGAAAAUAUAGUAUGCUUGUCUUUUAAGUCUGGCUUAUUUGAUUAACAUAAUGAUCUCUAGUUCCAUACAUUUUCCAGGAAAUUAUAUGAUUUGUUGUUUUUUUAUGGCUGAAAAAUACUCCAUUUGCAUGUAUACCACAUUUCCCAUCGGUAGUCAUCUAGAUCGGAUCUACAUUGUCGCUAUUGUGACCAGCACUGUGAUGGACACGGGUAUACAAGUAUCUCUAUUGUAUGCAGACUUUGAUUGUUUCAAGUGUUUACUCAGCAGUGGCAUAGUAGAUCAUAUUGUAGUUCUGUUUAUUUAGUUUUUAUUAAGAACUUCAUACAGAUUUACAUAGUGGCUGAGCUAAUUCACAUUCCUACCAAAAAUGUACUAUUUCUCUGAAGAUGUCUCUUGAGUUCUUUUGCCCAUUUAUUGAUUGGAUUAUCUGUUCUUUUGGUGUUAGUGAUUUUGAAUCUAAUUUUAUCAUUUCAUUGCUCUGAAGCAUUAUACUUGCUAACACACUGCUCUUAGGAUAAAGCAUGAAAUCUCAUAGCAGGACAUGUAUCACCUUCACAAUUUGACCCCAAUUACCUCUGUCCACUUACCUUUCGCAAA